UACGAAGGGGGCUAGCGUUGUUCGGAAUUACUGGGCGUAAAGCGCACGUAGGCGGAUUGUUAAGUCGGGGGUGAAAUCCUGAGGCUCAACCUCAGAACUGCCUUCGAUACUGGCAAUCUCGAGUCCGGAAGAGGUUGGUGGAACAGCUAGUGUAGAGGUGAAAUUCGUAGAUAUUAGGAAGAACACCGGUGGCGAAGGCGGUCAACUGGCCCGUAACUGACGCUCAGGCACGAAAGCGUGGGUAGCGAACAGG
rnacentral:rRNA from 1 species